CUAUCUAUGGAUUUUCGAUUUUUUGAGAUUGGAAAGCCACGGUACUCAUAGCAGUGACCAUCCUAAAUCCAUUCUUUCAAAUGACUUUUCAUUGCACUCUUUGGGAGGCUGUCCGAACUGUGGCAGCAACCUUUUGUGCACUCUUCAAUUGGAAGUGGAAGGUUACUAUAUCUCUAGCAGCAACCAUCCUAAGUUUUUCCCUCGAAUAAUAUUUCUG
rnacentral:lncRNA from 1 species